AACGCAUUUAUGCUUUGCUAAAUUUUAUAAUUUUAUAAUUUUAUGAUUUUGUGAUUUUGUGAUUUUAUUAUUUUUUUUUUUUUUAUUUUUUUAUUUUAUUUAUUUUUUUUUUUUUUAUAGAUUCACAAAAAUGAAUUAAACGGAAUAAAUUUACAAAAUUAUUUUUUCGUCAAAUUUAUAAUUAAAAAAGGUGAUAUAUUUAGAAAUAAUAAUUACAACAAAAAUCUAUAUGUUUCAAAAUUUACUCUAUACACAAGAAAAAGGCAUAAAGAAGCACUAGCGAUAAAAAAAUACAAAAUGGAAGGUACAUCAUCAUCCAGAAGACACCAUGGAUUAGAUGGAAAUAAAAGAAUAAAUAAGGUCACAAUGUUACCUUAUAAAAGUGUUAAACUUCCUGUAAGAAGGUGUCUCGUAUUAGGAAAAAUGGACAACAGAAACGCUCGUAAAAUCUCUAAGUCAGGAAUAAAAACUCAUAGAAUACAGAGAGUGAAUUUAAUUAAGCGAAGAAUGUAUCAUGAAGAAGAAGAUAGAUUUGUAAAAUUAAGAGUAAGUGCAAGAGGAUUAAAAACAAUUAAGAAAUAUGGAUUAGCGGAAUGCUGUAGAAAGUUUAAUAUUAAUUUAGAUAAAAAAAAUAUGAUGCUGGUUAUUCUACCAGAAAAAAAAAAAAAAAAUCCUACUGAAACAGCCAAUGCCACAACUGAUGGCAUGAACCAAACAAUUCCUCCUAUUGUGUAUGAAGAAGCUAAUAAAGUGAUGAAGGAUCUAAAUUAAAAUAAAUCUGGUUAAUAAUAAUUAUCUCUCA
rnacentral:lncRNA from 1 species